rnacentral:rRNA from 1 species
UGGGGAAUAUUGCACAAUGGGCGCAAGCCUGAUGCAGCCAUGCCGCGUGUAUGAAGAAGGCCUUCGGGUUGUAAAGUACUUUCAGCGAGGAGGAAGGCGGUAAGGUUAAUAACCUUAUCGAUUGACGUUACUCGCAGAAGAAGCACCGGCUAACUCCGUGCCAGCAGCCGCGGUAAUACGGAGGGUGCAAGCGUUAAUCGGAAUUACUGGGCGUAAAGCGCACGCAGGCGGUCUGUCAAGUCGGAUGUGAAAUCCCCGGGCUCAACCUGGGAACUGCAUUCGAAACUGGCAGGCUAGAGUCUUGUAGAGGGGGGUAGAAUUCCAGGUGUAGCGGUGAAAUGCGUAGAGAUCUGGAGGAAUACCGGUGGCGAAGGCGGCCCCCUGGACGAAGACUGACGCUCAGGUGCGAAAGCGUGGGGAGCAAACA